CAGAUCAGAGAAGCAUCGUUUAAGCGGGAGAUAAAAGCUUCCCGCCUGACGUCACCUGCAGAAUGAUGAUGUUUGAUCCAUGCAUCUGCAGCAUGCCGCUUGCAUGCACCUCUGGAAGCUGCAGAGGCCGCCCCCGUUAAUGGUGUCUGUGGUGGGGUGCCAGAGGGCAGUGCAGCGUGGAAAAAGAAAAAGUCCAACCUGCCUGUGUUUCUCAGACCUCCGUUGCCCUGGAAACCGGUUCCUGAGACUUCCCUUUUUUUUCUCCCUUCGUCUCUGUGUGUGUCACCCCACCAGCACUACCUCCACACUCCUCACUCUGCAGCUGCCUUCCUCCUUCCUCCUUCCUCCCCCACGACCUGCCGCAUUGUACAAUAACACACAAUCUGCUGCAGUCAUUUCACAAUGUCGCAGGAUGGAGGCUGUGUGACCCUCCGUGACUCCACGGCCCGCCGCCGCUCUGAAGCAGGAACAAAAGCAGAUUCUGCCUCAUUCAUAGAAACAUGUCCAGCUCAGGUUUUCUGUUGGGACUGUGGGUGUUGUGAGGAACACUGGCUCCAGCUCUCAGGCCUUUUUAAGUCAUCCUGCAGUGUUGUGUGUGCAUUCCUUUGCAGUGACUUCUCCUUGGCAGCAGGCGCAACAUUCCAGGGAAAUGGCUGACCUAGAAUAACACUCAGUCCCUCCGCCCUUUCCCUGCUGUUGGUGUGGAAAAGCAGAAAACACGGCGGCGUGGAUGCAGCUGGGGAGCGGCUCACACGGCUGCAGGAACACGCCGGCGCGUCCUCCAAGACCUGGAAGACUGAAGCGGCAUUCAGUCCCAUCCGAGCGUGAGAAGAAGACGGGAGGACAGAGUCUGUGGGCGUGACGCCAUCAUCCAUCACUGUAAAUGCUCAGGAGAGGUCAGAGAAGACGGCUGAGAAGAACCUGGAGGUGGAGGGAAAAACGGGAGAUUUCUAAACAGCACCUUAAAGUUAAACUUUUGUAAAUAAGUUAAAACUGGUUGCUGUGUUGUGUUUUCAUGCAGUAAGAUGUUCCUGUUGCUCACUAAUGGUUUCCCUCAUGACAGAAAACGUCUUUUUCUGAGCCAGAAAGUAAAAUUCUGUGCUGCUGCACAGCACCUUUAAAGGGUCACCAAACAGGCAGUUGGAGUCUGACUCCAUUCUAAGCCCAGAUUUGAAGGGAAAAAGAA